CCUUGUACCCAGGGUGCUACUGACACUGAAAAGGCCCCGAUGAGAGAUGAUUGGCUGGUGGCCUCUCCAAGGCUCUGCUUUUUCAACCUCCGACAUCUCUCUCCCCCUCUUCUUCGUUAGUCUCCGUUCACAGGAGUCACUACUUUGUCUCCUUUUUAGUCACUCGCAUUGCAUCUCUCUGUUAUUCUCUCACAGCUACUCUCACGACUUUGUGUCACCGAUGACUAUGUAAUCUACGUUGGAGAAAAAUUCAAGGAAGUUGUGAGAUAUAAGAAGAAAUAGAGACAACUUGGAUUUGGGUGCUAUCAAAUUUCAUGGAAGACUUCCUCUUUGCAAUCCUUGACAGGAAAUCAUUCUCUACAGCUUCAAAUCCUUCUACGUCACUGGACCUAGACUCUGGAAGAAUCUAAAGCCCCUCUGUUCCGCCACUUGCCGCAAUACUUGAUCAAUAUCCUUCUGUUACGCAUCUCGAUCUCAUGCUCUGCCAUUGGGUCACCAACAAUUCCCUCAUCGUCAUAUCUUCGGUUGAAAAUUCCAAGAUCAUGGAAUAACAUGAUGAAUCAAGAGAAGUACCUCAUGGGUCAUGGCAUACAUUGUUGACGAGAGAUACUACAAAUCUCAACCAAUCAAAUACAAUUUGAGUGAUAAUUUUGAACCAAGGUGACAAGAGAUGCUUGCAAUUGUCAUGUUGUUCUUUUGUCUGAUUAUUGAUUAGGUGAAUAACUUAGACUAACAUUCUUUUAAUUCCUUUCUAUUAGACAUACAUUAACAUGUUGUACUUAACUAUUCGGCGUGUUGUACUUAACUAUUUUUCGCCGAAUAGUUUAACCAUUUUUUUUUUUUAUAUUUGGGGAAUGAUCACUGCUGGAUUAUUGGAGAAAAUGAAUACCUAGGAGGAGGUGAAAUUUCAGAGUUAUGGUGUUGGGGCUGGCUUUUAGUGCAAAGGAUGUAAACGAUUUUCUUCAUCAAAUGGCUGCAACAGGUGUUGCUCUUUACAUGGA